UUUUCGACGCAAAAUUCUAAAUACUUUAUAUAGAUUUUGCAACAAUUGCCGAGCAUGCGUAUAAAUCAUGUUGGAAAUUCAAAGUGAAUCAAUUCGAUUUAUCCAGAGCUAUGCCCACCCUUAACCUGCGAACGGGCAUGCUCGGGGAACGAGAUUGGGGCCUUUCUCGCUGACUAUCCAACCGCUGAAGCAAAAAGCCCUGGGUACGAGGUUGGCUAGAUAUAUAACAUAGAUGUUUGGUAUCAUGGUAAGUGCUUCAUGUCGACUGCAAAUUCAUUUGUUUUUCGUUGUGAAUUUUUCUUAACAAUAUAUAUUCUCAAUCGCCAUGCCUUUUCGCUGUUGUUUCUGUAUUAAUUCUUUAAAAACCUUUUAAACCAACUACGUAAUAAAUCUAUUUUGCUAACCCGUCAAAAUGGUUUGAGAGGUUUUUCUCACACGUUUAUCUUUCUUGAAACGAAUAUUUUCCUGCUAAAACUCUUGUAGUUUUUGUGCCGCCAUCUUGUUUUUCGCUACUCGCCAUAUAUGAGUUGAUAUACAGCGAGUAGUUCAACCAAUCAGAUUGAAGAAUAGCUUAUACGGUGGAUGGCUAUAGUAUAUGACUUUAUUUGUAUGUUCAUCUUGUUUUAGUUUCCAUGUGGACCUGAUGACAAUAUAUGACAAUUACAUCCAUUCCGUGGUAAUGACAUGGACGAAUGAUGGAGGAGUUUUUGAAUUAAUCAUCGAUGGCAUAUUACAAUCGAGUCUGACUGGGAUUGAAGCUGAUGGCAUAAUAUCUGCUCGAAGUCGAUUUAUCAUUGGUGGUUCUGACGUUGAGAAAAAAAACUUG